UACGUAGGGGGCAAGCGUUGUCCGGAUUUAUUGGGCGUAAAGAGCUCGUAGGCGGUUCCGUAAGUCGAGUGUGAAAAAUCUGGGCUCAACCCAGUGGAGCACUCGAUACUGCGGUGACUAGAGUACGGUAGAGGAGUGUGGAAUUCCUGGUGUAGCGGUGAAAUGCGCAGAUAUCAGGAGGAACACCGGUGGCGAAGGCGGAUCUCUGGGCCGUAACUGACGCUGAGGAGCGAAAGCAUGGGGAGCGAACAGG
rnacentral:rRNA from 1 species